rnacentral:tRNA from 1 species
UCCCUGCUGGCCCAGUGGUUAGGACUCUGUGCUUUCACUGCUGAGGGCCUGGGUUCAAUCCCUGGUCAGGGAA